GCCCCUCCACCUCUCUGCCCCCCUCCCUGCCUCCAGGGCUAUUCUGGGCGAGGACCAGUCCGGUUAAUCCCCUUAAUCGAGGGCUGUGCUGCCCAGUGCCCUGCAGACCCUGUAAAGGGCAGUCUGAGGGUUAGGGCUGCAGCGUGGGAGGCUCCCGGCACCCCCAUCCCUGCAGCACCCCAUCCCCGUGGCACCCCAUCCCUGCGGCACCCCAUCCCUGUGGGGAUUCCUGGGUGCUGGGCAUGACCAGGGCAGGUGGGGGAGGAAGGUCAGGAGGCUGGCCCAGGGGGAGCUCUCAAGUCCCACCCGCCCCGCAGUUUGCGUGGGCCAGAGCCUCCUCCAGCCGCCGCCUGCCCCGCGGUGCCCCGGCCUGUGACCGGCCCUGGUGAGGGAGGCAGGAGCCGGGAGGAGGCUGAGGCUCUCACUCCACUUGGGACGGACGAGGACACACGAGCUGACCCGCUGGGGAUCCAGUUCCCGAAACCUGAGCUGAGGGCCGGGUUUCACGCGCCGUGGGCUGCACACCUGCCCGGCCCCAUCCUCCACCUGAGGGAGGGCCAGGGCGCACAGCACUCAUGAGACCAUCAUGAACCUCGGGGCGCCUUCGCCCCAGGAAGACCCAGAGCUUAAGACACAGCUGGGCCUGCCUUGCCGCUGUUGGCACCCAAGUGAGCGAGGGAAAUGUCACACACAGAAGCUGGGGCGACAGCCCACCUCCAGCCGCAGCCCCUGGAGUGUGAGUGGGCCCAGGCCCUUCCACCCACGCCCCCCACUCCCCCUCCACGCCCCCCACUCCCUUGUAGUGUUUUAACGCGGAUUCCCUAACCCCCCGGUUUUCCGGGAAUACUUCAGUUUUCCUGUCUUCAAGGCGAGGACCCUUUACAACAGUGGUUCUCAACCUUCCUCAUGCCGCGGCCCUUUCAUACGGUUCCUCAUGUUGUGGGGACCCCCAACCAUAAGGUUAUUUUCGUGGCUACGUCAUCACUGCCAUGUUGCUACUGUUAUGAAUCGCCAUGUACAUAUCUGAUAUGCAGGAUGUAUUUUCACUGUUACAAAUUGAACAUCAUUAAAGCACAGCGAUGAAUCACAAAAA